rnacentral:rRNA from 1 species
CCUUUUGAGGGUGGACUUGUGGGAUUCGAAGUGCCUUUGUUUUUCACAACCUGCUUUUUUUGGGUGUACUUUCUCGUAUUGUAGGUCAACAUCGGUUUCGAUCGUUAUAAAAUGACUGGAGGAAUGUAGCUUCGAUCUCGUAUUGAAGUGUUAUAGCCUUUGGUAAAUGUAACGGAUGGGGUCGAGGAUUGCAAUGAAUACCCUCAUGGGCUAUUCGUCUGGCCUCUGACAUGUCACUCUGGUGCCGAAAGCUUGCUUAUGGUAUUAUAGUGUACGGUCAAAAGGUUAGAACGGAUUAAAUUCGUUAAGGAUGUUGACGUAA